rnacentral:rRNA from 1 species
CUGCGGACGGCUCAGUAUAUCAGUUAUAAUCUGCUCGAUUGUUAAGGUUAUUGGAUAACCGUGGGAAAUCUAGAGCUAAUACAUGCACCUCGGGCAGUUUCGGCUGUCAUGGCAUUUAUUAGAGCGAUACCAACCGUGUGAGCAAUCACACGAGGUGAAUCUAGAUAACUGUGCAGAUCGUAUGGCCUUGAGCUGACGACAUUUCGAUUGAGUUUCUGCCCUAUCAACCAGUUGCAAGUGUAAGGUACUUGCAAAGUGUCUACGGGUAACGGGGGAUCAGGGUUCGAUUCCGGAGAGGGAGCCUGAGAAACGGCUACCACAUCCAAGGAAGGCAGCAGGCGCGCAAAUUACCCAAUCCAGACAAUGGGAGGUGGUGACGAAAAGUACUAGGUGGCGACUAUGUUGCCAGCCUGGAAUGAAUGCAAUUUAAGCAAUUGAAUUGAGUAACGACUGGAGGGCAAGUCUGGUGCCAGCAGCCGCGGUAAUUCCAGCUCCAGUAGCCUAUCUCAAAGUUGCUGCGCUUAAAACGCUCGUAGUUGGAUCACGCACUUUGUGUUGGUGUGCGGCCUGGUGCGACGUGACCGAAUUUGCAGUUCGGCGCGUCGAAGUCACGGUCGCUAUUAGCCGAUGCAGAGUAAUUGCACGUGAGGAUGGCAGUUGGCCUUUAGUGUGUCGACAGUCGUGUCUCACGGGGUGUGCCUUGAGUAAAUCAGAGUGCUCAAAGCAGGCGAAUGCCUGAAUGUUGAUAGCAUGGAACGAACAAUCGUGUAGGGUGUGUGCUGGUAACGGUGCGUCGUUUGACCGCCGCAGUACACGACACCGACCACCAAUUACGGAUGUUGGUUCCGUAUUGGGGUACUGAUUAAGAGGAGCGGUUGGGGGCAUUGGUAUUUGGCAGCGAGAGGUGAAAUUCUUGGACCUGCCAAGGACUAACAAAUGCGAAGGCAUCUGUCCAGACCGUAUCCAUUAAUCAAGAACGAAAGUGAGAGGUUCGAAAGCGAUCAGAUACCGCCCUAGUUCUCACUGUAAACGAUGCCGACCCGGGAUCAGUUUGGAGCCAUUUUCCACGCUCGAGGUUGGUCCCCCUGGGAAACCUGAAGUUUUUCGGUUGCGGGGGGAGUAUGGUCGCAAGGCUGAAACUUAAAGGAAUUGACGGAAGGGCACCACCAGGGGUGGAGCCUGCGGCUUAAUUUGACUCAACACGGGAAAACUUACCUGGUCCGGACAUCAAAAGGAUAGACAGACUAAAAGAUCUUUCUUGAUAUGGUGAUUGGUGGUGCAUGGCCGUUCUUAGUUCGUGGAGUGAUUUGUCAGGUUUAUUCCGGUAACGAACGAGACCACAUUCUCCAUUUGAGGAGUCAGAGAAGGUCAAGGUCGAGUGCUGGUUGGCGACAGCCGGCAUCCGUUCCAAAGCCGAAGGCGGUGUUUGAGGAAUCGGCGGUUGUUUGCGCAAGUGAACGGCCUCCGAGUCUGAAGAUGCUCCCUCUGGCCAUACAGUGC